rnacentral:rRNA from 1 species
UACGGAGGAUGCAAGCGUUAUCCGGAAUGAUUGGGCGUAAAGCGUCCGCAGGUGGCUAUGUAAGUCUGCUGUUAAAGAGUGAGGCUCAACCUCAUAAAAGCAGUGGAAACUACAUGGCUAGAGUGCGUUCGGGGCAGAGGGAAUUCCUGGUGUAGCGGUGAAAUGCGUAGAUAUCAGGAAGAACACCGGUGGCGAAAGCGCUCUGCUAGGCCGCAACUGACACUGAGGGACGAAAGCUAGGGGAGCGAAUGGG